GACGAACACUGGCGGCGUGCUUAACACAUGCAAGUCGAACGGAAAGGCCCUUCGGGGUACUCGAGUGGCGAACGGGUGAGUAACACGUGGGUGAUCUGCCCUGCACUUUGGGAUAAGCCUGGGAAACUGGGUCUAAUACCGAAUAGGACCACGCGCUUCAUGGUGUGUGGUGGAAAGCUUUUGCGGUGUGGGAUGGGCCCGCGGCCUAUCAGCUUGUUGGUGGGGUAAUGGCCUACCAAGGCGACGACGGGUAGCCGGCCUGAGAGGGUGACCGGCCACACUGGGACUGAGAUACGGCCCAGACUCCUACGGGAGGCAGCAGUGGGGAAUAUUGCACAAUGGGCGCAAGCCUGAUGCAGCGACGCCGCGUGAGGGAUGACGGCCUUCGGGUUGUAAACCUCUUUCAAUAGGGACGAAGCGCAAGUGACGGUACCUAUAGAAGAAGCACCGGCCAACUACGUG
rnacentral:rRNA from 1 species